rnacentral:rRNA from 1 species
GCCGGAUUAGCUAGUUGGUAGGGUAACGGCCUACCAAGGCGACGAUCCGUAGCUGGUCUGAGAGGACGACCAGCCACACUGGGACUGAGACACGGCCCAGACUCCUACAGGAGGCAGCAGUGGGGAAUAUUGGACAAUGGGGGAAACCCUGAUCCAGCGACGCCGCGUGUGUGAAGAAGGCCUGCGGGUUGUAAAGCACUUUUAGUGGGGAUGAAAAGCUCAGGGAUAACACCCCUGGGUCUUGACCUAACCCACAGAAAAAGCACCGGCUAACUCUGUGCCAGCAGCCGCGGUAAUACAGAGGGUGCAAGCGUUAAUCGGAAUUACUGGGCGUAAAGCGUGCGUAGACGGUUAUGUAAGUCGGGUGUGAAAGCCCCGGGCUCAACCUGGGAAUGCCAUUCGAGACUGCAUAGCUAGGGUGCGGAAGAGGGAAGCGGAAUUUCCGGUGUAGCGGUGAAAUGCGUAGAUAUCGGAAGGAACACCAGUGGCGAAAGCGGCUUCCUGGUCCAGCACCGACGUUCACGCACGAAAGCGUGGGGAGCA